AUGCCCCGGGAUGAGGCAUGUCAAAGGAGCAUCCAACCGCAGUCUCCAGGAGGAAGGUCUGUGACUUGCCAUUGUGGCUCUCCUGCAGAGAUGUUGCAUCCUACUCCAGCCAUGCCACAUCACCACGCCCAAGCAAUCCCGCAGGUAAGUCACAGAACUGCUCUGAAUGCGAGUUUCUCAUCUGUGGAUUCGAGCUGAGCUUCCCUUCCUCUCGGUGUGGCUCUGAAUGAAGCAGGAGCAUGUGCAGAGCACUGUGUACCUGACAAGGACCACAUGGCCCCUGUGAGAUGUUCUCCGUGGGAAGCAUGAAGUUCACAGUGCACCUGCUAGGUUUGGCGGCCUGCAAGCGGCCAGAGGCUGUUUGCUGGGAGGAGCUCACUCAUGCCAGUGAGAGAUGA
rnacentral:lncRNA from 1 species